UACGUAGGGUGCAAGCGUUGUCCGGAAUUAUUGGGCGUAAAGAGCUCGUAGGCGGUUCGUCGCGUCGGCUGUGAAAACCCGGAGCUCAACUCCGGGCCUGCAGUCGAUACGGGCGGACUUGAGUGUUGCAGGGGAGACUGGAAUUCCUGGUGUAGCGGUGAAAUGCGCAGAUACCAGGAGGAACACCGGUGGCGAAGGCGGGUCUCUGGGCAACUACUGACGCUGAGGAGCGAAAGCGUGGGGAGCGAACAGG
rnacentral:rRNA from 1 species